CCUACGGGAGGCAGCAGUGGGGAAUUUUGGACAAUGGGGGCAACCCUGAUCCAGCCAUGCCGCGUGAGUGAAGAAGGCCUUCGGGUUGUAAAGCUCUUUCGGUCGGGAAGAAAUCGCAUGGGUUAAUACCCUGUGCGGAUGACGGUACCGGCAUAAGAAGCACCGGCUAACUACGUGCCAGCAGCCGCGGUAAUACGUAGGGUGCGAGCGUUAAUCGGAAUUACUGGGCGUAAAGCGUGCGCAGGCGGUUUUGUAAGACAGGCGUGAAAUUCCCCGGGCUCAACCUGGGAACUGCGUUUGUGACUGCAAGGCUAGAGUACGGCAGAGGGGGGUGGAAUUCCACGUGUAGCAGUGAAAUGCGUAGAGAUGUGGAGGAACACCAAUGGCGAAGGCAGCCCCCUGGGUCGAUACUGACGCUCAUGCACGAAAGCGUGGGUUAGCAAACAGGAUUAGAUACCCUGGUAGUCCACGCCCUAAACGAUGUCAACUAGGUGUUGGGUGGGUAAAACCAUUUAGUACCGGAGCUAACGCGUGAAGUUGACCGCCUGGGGAGUACGGCCGCAAGGUUAAAACUCAAAGGAAUUGACGG
rnacentral:rRNA from 1 species